rnacentral:tRNA from 1 species
GGUUAUAGCUCAGUGGUAUAGCACUUGCCUUGCAUGCAUGAGGCCCUGGGUUCAAUCCUCAGCACCA